ensembl:lncRNA
GCACGGGCUGGGUGUGCAGUACAUGCCUGUCAGCCAGCAAGGUCACAAGCUGGGGUUUGGAGGAGGAGGACAGAGAGAGCUUGAUAUGGAGCUGCAGGAGGCACAGCCCUGCUCUGUGCCUCCGGCUCCUGGGGCCAGAGCAGAUGUGAAGUGGCACCUUGGAGAGGUUCCAGCGAGGUAUGGCAUUGCCUUUUUAUGGACCGUCUGAAAGCUGGAUCUGUUACAGUUUUCAAGUCAACACUGAAAAGAACCUGAACCCGACCUGGGCUCGAAGAGCUACGUAGACUAGGGAGCUGGCGAGUUGAUUCCAGUCACACCGGAAUUUGGAUCCCCUCUUCAAAGAGCAGUCUGAGACCAGAUCUUCAGCUAGUAUAAAUUAGUGCAGCUCUAUUAAAGUCAAUGGAGAUAUAUGGGUUUACCCCAGCUGGGGAUCUGGCCUGAGAUUUAGGUUUGAUGAUGCUUUCAGUGCUUCUCUGAAAUGGGGAUGUAAUGAUGUUGGUGCUAACAAAUGUGUGUGUUGAUUUUAUGAUUGGAAAAAUUUGACUUUUAUUGGUAAAAGUCAGUAAACACUGAUUUCACUGCACACACACACACCAAUGAAAAAAUAUUUUAAUUGAUAAUAACAAACGGGCAGAUAAGCAAAGUAAAGAAAAUGCUGCUUGAAAACUUAUUGGGGCAUAUUUCAUUUGUAAAUGGUGACAGAGAAACAAGGUGGGAGAGGUAAUAUUUUUUAUUAGACUAACUUCUGUUGGUGAAAGAGACAAAUAUUUGCACUGUAAAAAAAGAAGAAAUAGUAUUUUUCAAUUCACUUCCUACAAGUACCAUAGUGCAAUCUCCAUUGUGAAAGUGUGACUUAUAAAUGUAGAAUUAUUUUUUGUUACAUAACUGCACUCAAAAGCAAAAAAUGUAAAACUUCAGAGCCUACGAGUCCACUCAGUCAUACUUCUUGUUCAGCCAAUUUCUAAGACAAACAAGUUUGUUUACAUUUACAGGAGAUAAUGCUGCCCACUUCGUAUUUACAAUGUUACCUAAAAGUGAGAACAGGCAUUCGCAUGGCACUGUUGUAAUAUAAAUUCAGCACUGUACACUAUGUAUUCUGUGUUGUAAUUGAAAUCAAU